GAGCGCGCGACAUUGUGUCACACGACUUUACGUUUUUUUUUACUUAUAAAUCGAUAAUUUUGUAAUUGAUCGAGUGGUUCGAAUUCAUUCGUGAUAAAAUUAUGACGCCGGUUAUUUAGGGAUGAUAUUUGUUUUGUCGUUUUUUUUGUACUUAUUUUAGAUUUUAAAUACAUUAAGGAUAUUAAACACUUUGUUAAACAGAUGAUGGGCAUAAAAAUAGUAGCCGAGUACCUUAAUAGAAGUUUCUACAAUCUGGGUCUGGUUGUGGGAAAGCAUCCAGGUUACUUCCUAAUUAUGCCAGUUUUAAUCACUUUACUGGGCAUGACUGGAUACCAAAGAAUACAUAAUAAUAUCGAUCCAGAGUAUUUGUUUAGUCCGGUUAAUGGACAAGGGAAAAUGGAGAGGGCCAUAGUGGAGGAAUAUUUUAAAGUUAAUUAUACCAGUAGGUUUAACGUUGCGAGGAUUACUAGAGCAGGUAGAUUUGGAAGAUUGAUAAUAACAUCCAAAGAUGAUAACAAGGACAUGCUUCGAAUGAGCGUAUGGAAGGAAAUGCGUGAAUUGGAUAAUCUCAUACAAGAUAUGACGGUGGAAUAUAAGGGAGAAUAUUUCAAUUACAGUAGCAUCUGUGCCAAAUGGAUGGACGAUUGUUUUUUUAACGAUAUUUUGAAUUUGGAGUAUGUUAUAGACAAGGUUGAAUUAGGGGAAUGGCAAUUAACAUUCCCUUUAACUUUGAACAUCAUGACUCUGGAUGUGCACGUGCUCCCUGUUUUCUUUGGAGGAACCCAAGUGACCGAGGAGGGAUUUGUUAAGAGCGUCCCAUCAGUGCAAUUAGUCUAUUUUGGGAAUGCUGAUACGAAAAAAAUGGACACUCUUGGUGCCUCCUGGGAAGAUGCUUUUCUUGACCUCAUAGAGAGAGUGCAGGAUAUAGAAAAUAGGUUUAGGCAUAUCAGAAUUGCUAGGUUUACCUCCAGGACACUCGAUCAUGAGCUGGAGAAGAAUACUCAUUCUGUGAUACCGUAUUUUACUUCGACAUUUUUAAUUAUGGCCAUAUUUUCUGUAGUGACUUGUAUGAUGACUGAUUGGGUACGAUCCAAACCAUGGCUUGGCCUAUUAGGGAAUCUCAGUGCUGCCAUGGCCACACUUUGUGCCUUCGGGUUUUGCAUGUAUGCGGGGGUCGAUUUUAUUGGAAUCAAUUUGGCUGCUCCAUUUUUAAUGAUUGGAAUUGGAAUAGACGACACAUUUGUAAUGUUGGCGGCAUGGAGAAGAACUUCUAUAAAAUCCCCAGUUCCGGAACGGAUAGCGCAAAUGUUAAGCGAAGCGGCAGUUUCCAUUACGAUAACAUCAGUAACGGAUUUUUUCAGUUUCUGGAUCGGAAUUUUCAGUCCUUUUCCUUCUGUUACUAUUUUCUGUAUUUACUCUGGUGCUGCCACUAUACUUUUGUUCAUUUGGCAUUUGACAUUUUUCACCGCCUGCGUGGCUAUUUCCGGUUAUUGCGAGCAAAAAAACCUCCAUUCGGUGUUUUGUUUCAAAGUACAGCCUCUAUCAAAAUCAGAAGACAGAUAUUGGCUCUACAGAGCCUUCUGCAGUGGCGGUUUUAACCCUGAUGAUGCAGACAAUCCAAAAGAUAACAAUGAGCAUGGAGUUAUGAUCUUCUUUAAAGAUUAUUUUGCUGCAUUUUUAAACAAUGGAUAUGUUAAAUUUCUAGUGAUUUUAAUAUUCGGUCUCUAUUUGGUGGGAGCUAGUUACGGAAUUACUAAAAUCAAAGAGGGAUUAGAAAGGAGGAAAGUUACCCAAAAUGGGUCGUAUGCCAUCGAGUUUUUCGAUCGGGAGGAUGAUUAUUAUCGAGAGUUUCCCUAUAGAUUACAAGUGAUUGUGGCAGGUGACUAUGACUACUCAGAUCCAAAAGUUCAACAGAAAGUAGAAAAACUAACUCAAACUUUCGAAAAUACUUCAUACGUUACCAACAUUUAUACUGAGUCCUGGUUAAGAGACUUUUUAAAUUAUAUAGAAAGAAAUUUUGAUGAUCACAAUACCCCAACCAAUACUACAAAAGGUUUUAUAGAUGCACUAGAAGAACAUAAAUGGCUUGACCCAUCAAGCUCUUACUCUUUGGACGUCAGAUUCGAUGAGAAACACGAAAAAAUUAUCGCCAUGAGAUUUCUCAUUCAAGCAGUGAACAUUUCUGGCACAGAGCAUGAAAAGGAAAUGGUCAGAGCCCUUAGGAAAAUUUGCGAAGAUUCACCUCUUAAUGUCACAGUAUUUCAUCCAUAUUUUGUAUUUUUUGACCAGUUUGAGCUAGUACGUCCCUUAACAAUACAGAACAUCAUCAUAGGAGGUGCAAUAAUGAUGAUAGUGUCGUUCAUAUUCAUCCCAAAUAUUUUCUGUGCCUUUUGGGUGGCAUUCAGUAUUGUAUCCAUCGAGGCUGGUGUAGUGGGAUAUAUGGCACUAUGGAAAGUAAAUCUGGAUUCCAUUUCCAUGAUUAACCUGAUCAUGUGUAUUGGGUUCAGUGUGGACUUUACGGCACAUAUUUGUUAUGCCUAUAUGUCUUCUCCGGAGAACGCGCCCAAAGGGAAGAUGAGGGACGCAUUGUAUGCACUGGGAUUACCCAUUUUCCAAGUUUCCAACAUGCAAAGAAGACUGGAGAAGUAUCGCAUCCGGUUUUGAAUCCCGAUGGAAUUUUCCUAACUGUGCAGGAGCCCCAGACGGAAAGCAUAUUCGAAUAGUACCACCACCAAGAACAGAAAACACUUGGGUAUGUCGAAAUUGAAAUUUACCUGUCUCCUGCUCUAUGUAAUUGCACGAUGAUUCGAUGUUGGCACGUUUGUAGAAUAAUUUAUCAACCCAGGACUCAUGCUUGGCUUGUUUUCCACCCAAAGAGAACUUAAGAAAGACAAUCAUCAAAUACGACAGUUAAAAUGUCAUUAACGUCAUUUUCCGAUUAGUUGUCCAUGAUAAAAUUACCAUGUCUGAUCGUUUAAGUUCUAGUGAUGAGGACUUGGAGAACCUCUUAGAAGUUACCGAAGUUCCCAAAAAUGUUGGAUAUUUUGAAAACAUUGUCCCACAAUUUGAUAACAACCUGCAUUUUCAAAUAAGCUCAGCACUCACUAAUGAACUGGCAGAUCGAUUUGCUGCAUCCCAAUAUUAUAUAGAACAAAAAGGAGACAGUAUUUCUUUGGUUUAUUGGAAAUAGGGCAAGGCAGAGUCUUUUAGAAAUGUUGGAGAUCGAUUUAAUCUAAAUAAGAGCUUGAUUUUUAAGGUUGUAAAAAGGGUGUCAUAUUUUCGAAGUAAGUUGUCUCCUGAAAUUAUUAACUGGCUUGGUAACGAGGAAAAACUGGACAUCUAACAACACUUUUCAAAUCAUGAUUUGCCUGGAGUAAUUAGUAUCAUUGAGGGUACACACAUAAAAAUAGAUACGCCAGCUGAAAUUUUAAUACCCUUAAAGAAAAGUGUAGUGAUAACUUUAUCAUUGGUUACAGUGGAUGAUCUUUAAAACAUCUUUUAACCCCCUUUUAGAAUAACCUUACUAGACGACAAAGAAAUUAUAAUUUAAUUUUUUCUUAAAAUAGAUAUCUAAUUGAGCAUAGUUUUGGUAUUAUGAAGCAGAAAUUCAGACAAUUGUAUCAUGUCAAAAUUAAGAACAUAGAAGAUAUUGUUCAUUUAAUCCGAGCUUGUGCAGUUUUGUAUAAUAUAUGCAUAGAUGAGCAAUUACUGGAAGAUAAAAUAUUAGAGAAGAAAUUGUUAUUGG